rnacentral:rRNA from 1 species
ACGAACGCUGGCGGCGUGCCUAAUACAUGCAAGUCGAACGCAUUUUCUUUCACCGUAGCUUGCUACACCGCAAGAAAAUGAGUGGCGAACGGGUGAGUAACACGUGGGUAACCUGCCCAUCAGCGGGGGAUAACACUUGGAAACAGGUGCUAAUACCGCAUAAUUCCAUUUACCGCAUGGUAGAUGGAUGAAAGGCGCUUUUGCGUCACUGAUGGAUGGACCCGCGGUGCAUUAGCUAGUUGGUGGGGUAACGGCCUACCAAGGCUGCGAUGCAUAGCCGACCUGAGAGGGUGAUCGGCCACACUGGGACUGAGACACGGCCCAGACUCCUACGGGAGGCAGCAGUAGGGAAUCUUCGGCAAUGGACGCAAGUCUGACCGAGCAACGCCGCGUGAGUGAAGAAGGUUUUCGGAUCGUAAAACUCUGUUGUUAGAGAAGAACAAGGAUGAGAGUGGAAAGUUCAUCCCUUGACGGUAUCUAACCAGAAAGCCACGGCUAACUACGUG